UGGAAUCUGGAUGCCAAUCAAUAAUCCUGAGAAUGAGGCAAAACUCAAACUGUAAUAAACAAAACAAUUUGUUUGUAAAAUUGAACAUAUAAAGUUGAUUAUGUGUUAUAAAUGCAGGUCAAGGUGAUUCUUAUGGUCAAGGAUAAGGGAGCUUUGAUCUUUUUUUGCCGUUUUUGAUUACGAUAAUAAUAAAAUAAGACCGGUUGGGAAGAGGAAAACAUGUUUAUUGAUGGUUAAAAGUGAAAGUUGAGCUUGCUUCAGGUUCUUUUUUCACAAACUAAUAAUGGUAAUGAGAUAGCAAAGUUUACAUGAAGACGUUAAUCACAUUCUGCAGAAAUUUCGAUAAAACGGAUUGAAUCAAGUUAUCAAGCGAUUAAGCAACACAAUGAUAAUUUCUAGCUGUAAAGUUGAAGUGACCAUGUAGUGAAAAUAAAUGCAAGAGCUUUAAUCUAUUGACAGCAUAGUAACUACCAAACGAGAUGGAAUGAGUUGUAAUCAAAUUAACUUACCUUGGAAAAAAUUUAGCUGCCGUCGAUUGAGCUUGCUUGAAUUUAUCUUUAUCAUACCAAGGAGGAGGGACACUUGGGUCAAUUUCGGGCGAAACACCAACUUCAUAGGAGCCUUCAUCGACCAAUUUACGAUAUCUGUCAAUCACUUUAUCCUUGCACUCUGGUUUUGUUUGAUCAUCGUCCAUUGUGAGUCCAGAUACACAACUUUGGUUAAAUGUUUCUUGAUAAAGCACACUGAGCGAGUAAAACUAUGGACGAACUGUUGUUGCCGCAGUUAGCAAGCAAACAUGUUAAAAAAGGGUGAAAACUGGCUGGUUAACGUUGCUUAUUGUUCACUGAUUGAUUUGAUUGAACAAAUUUACCAAUAAUGGAGACAAAAGUUAAAAAAGACUUAAUGGAAAGGAAAAGAAUAAGGAUGAUUGAAGAUAAAUUGCUGUUUACGUUUGACUUUGCUGUUGUUGUAACUGCUGUUGUUUAGAGGGAAAAAAGUAGAAAUGAAAAUUUUGGAUGAAAACUUGGGUCAGACGCUAAAAAAUAGUUUCAAAUGUUAAAAUGCAUUAUUCUGAUUAUGUGAUUAGUUUCCUUCUCAAUACACACAAACAUUCACUUACAUUUACAGCAAAAACAUUACAUUCUACUUCUUCUUUUCUAUUACCUGAGAAACAUUUUUCAAAUCACUCCUACUAAUUUGAUGAUCCGCAACUCCUCCAUUAAUUAAAGCAUCAUUGAGAAAUAAGGUAAAGCUGGAUGAUUGGAGGAGGUAAUCAACAAUUCUGAAAGGAUGAUUAGUGUCAAUUUUCUUUCUCUCUACCAGAAUCGUCCGAGCCUGAAGAAAAGCGAGUUUUCAAACGUAAAUGGUUAGCCUAUUCAUGCGUAUCGCUUGAACGGGUUAAUCAUUAAUAGAGAGUCGACUUCAUUACCAUUUAAUCAUCCUAGCUGUAUCCAUGCUAAUUACAAACAUAAUUUGACGAAACAUAAUUUGUAAUUACACCUUGGGAAACAAUUUAGCCUUCAAUGGUCAACUCUUGUUUGUUGGCUUUUCAAAUUUCCCUGGCUUAAUUUAUAGCCAUUACCAAAGCAAAUUUAACACAGACCUUCAAUCAGAUGAGUGUUAUUGAACAAUUUAAAUUAAAUUUUUCAUUUUUACACCAAA